CGCGCAAAUUACCCACUCCCAGUACGGGGAGGUGGUGACGAAAAAUACCGAUGCGAGACUCACAUAGAGGCUCCGCAAUCGGAAUGAGUGAACCUUAAAUCCUUUCACGAGGAUCAAUUGGAGGGCAAGUCUGGUGCCAGCAGCCGCGGUAACUCCAGCUCCAAUAGCGUAUAUUAAAGUUGCUGCAGUUAAAAAGCUCGUAGUUGGAUCUCGGUAGCACUGUUGCUCGUCAGUCCUUGGGCGAGAGGCUAUGUGUGCAUGGGUUAAGCCCGUGUUGCCGUGGCCGCUCUGCUCGAGUUGGCGAUGCGGUGGUGUCACCUUUCAGCCAUGUCUGUGGUGAAAUACCCGCACGUGUAGGCGAGUGUCGGGCGGCGCCCUGCAUUUGUAGGGCUCGUCGGCUCGUCUGCAUGCCUUUGGAUGCCCUUUAAAAGGUGUCUGUGGGGCGGAUGGCACGUUUACGUUUGAACAAAUUUGAGUGCUCAAACCCACGCCGAUGUUGCCUGAAAAGUUUUGCAUGGAAAUAAUGGGAAUAGGACUUUCGGGUUCCUAUCUCGUUUGGGUUUUUCU
rnacentral:rRNA from 1 species